GAUCAAUGAUGAGCCUAUCCCGAACCUGACUUCUUGAUGAAAGCAAUAUUUUACGGAUCUGGCUUCUGAGAA